rnacentral:rRNA from 1 species
GAUGAACGCUGGCGGCGUGCCUAAUACAUGCAAGUCGAGCGAACAGACGAGGCGCUUGCUCCUCUGACGUUAGCGGCGGACGGGUGAGUAACACGUGGAUCACCUACCUAUAAGACUGGGAUAACUUCGGGAAUCCGGCGCUAAUACCGGAUAAUAUAUUGCACCGCAUGGUUGAAUAGUGAAAGUCGGUUUUGCUGUCACUACUAGCUGGUUCCGGGCCGCAUUAGCUGGUUGGUAAGGUCACGGCCUACCAAGGCAACGAUGCGUAGCCGACCUGAGAGGGUGAUCGGCGACACUGGAGCUGGGACGCGGACCAGACUCCUACGGGAGGCAGCAGUAGGGAACCUUCCGCAAUGGGCGGAAGCCUGACGGAGCAACGCGGCGUGAGUGAUGAAAGUCUUCGGAUCGUAAAACUCUGUUAUUAGGGAAGAACAAAUAUGUAAGUAACUAUGCACGGCUUGACGGUACCUAAUCAGAAAGCCACGGCUAACUACGUG